UAGAGUUGUAAAACUCCCAAACCCAUGUGAACAUACCUCUGUUGCCUCGGCGGCCUGCCCGGCGGCUACCCUGUAGCAGCCCCGCGGUCCGCCGAAGGACUACAAAACUCUUUUGUAUGUCCCUCGCGGACUUUUAUAAUUCUGAACCAUCUCGGCGCCCCUUGCGGGCGUUUCGAAAAUGAAUCA
rnacentral:misc_RNA from 1 species